ACUAAAUAAGAUUUUGACAUGUUUUUUAGUGCAAGUGAUGAAGAAUGGUGUUGAAGUUCUAGUUUUGGAAAACCUUCAGUGACAUUGAUAAAUUGAUUGGAUCAAAUAAGGAGGUGUGCGUUACUUCAUUUUCAUCAAUAAAUGAUCCAUUGCUGGUGCCGUGUCAUAUGAGACCACUAUGGGAAUCGGAUAAUGGAUUACAAGAGGAACUUGGGGUCUGGUGGGUAAGACCCCCGGAGCUAUGGGGAUGGCCAACAGCUUGCUUGGAACCUGGGGUAUAGGAAUGUGAUAAUGAGGAAGUUGUUAACAUCCUUAAUGGUGUUAAUGCUAAUGAAAGUGGCUCAGCACUGAUUCGUACCAUCUUCAAAUUAUUGAAGAACACUUAAGAGAUUGUCUUGGCGCAGAUUUGCAGAGAGUCACAUGGCCAAGAUGCAAACUGCAGAGAAGCUGAAAUUCUAUAUUUUUCACUACCCACUGUUUUAUCGUUGUAGAAUAAGGAUGUGGUCUGAGCCUUUUAUUUACCAAAAGAAUCCAUUGGCUCGCAGGGGCCAACAGUCUAGUAUAUAUAAUAUGAGAAGAAAGGCCUUGGAAUGAGCACAAAAUAAUUCUAUAUGUCAUCUUUACAGAACGGGCUAAAAUAAGGGGGUUUUUUUUUUUUUUUUAUCCGGAUUAAUUUAGAGAGGGAGAAGCUUAGGAACCAGAAAGAAAAUGAGCACAAAAUAAUUGUAAUGUCAUUUUUACAAGUGUGAAAAUUAGGCUUUGAUAA